rnacentral:rRNA from 1 species
UUACCAUGCAAGUCGAACGGUGAAGCCCAGCUUGCUGGGUGGAUCAGUGGCGAACGGGUGAGUAACACGUGAGCAACCUGCCCCUGACUCUGGGAUAAGCGCUGGAAACGGCGUCUAAUACUGGAUACGAGUAGCGACCGCAUGGUCAGUUACUGGAAAGAUUUAUUGGUUGGGGAUGGGCUCGCGGCCUAUCAGCUUGUUGGUGAGGUAAUGGCUCACCAAGGCGUCGACGGGUAGCCGGCCUGAGAGGGUGACCGGCCACACUGGGACUGAGACACGGCCCAGACUCCUACGGGAGGCAGCAGUGGGGAAUAUUGCACAAUGGGCGCAAGCCUGAUGCAGCAACGCCGCGUGAGGGAUGACGGCCUUCGGGUUGUAAACCUCUUUUAGCAGGGAAGAAGCGAAAGUGACGGUACCUGCAGAAAAAGCGCCGGCUAACUACGUGCCAGCAGCCGCGGUAAUACGUAGGGCGCAAGCGUUAUCCGGAAUUAUUGGGCGUAAAGAGCUCGUAGGCGGUUUGUCGCGUCUGCUGUGAAAUCCGGAGGCUCAACCUCCGGCCUGCAGUGGGUACGGGCAGACUAGAGUGCGGUAGGGGAGAUUGGAAUUCCUGGUGUAGCGGUGGAAUGCGCAGAUAUCAGGAGGAACACCGAUGGCGAAGGCAGAUCUCUGGGCCGUAACUGACGCUGAGGAGCGAAAGGGUGGGGAGCAAACAGGCUUAGAUACCCUGGUAGUCCACCCCGUAAACGUUGGGAACUAGUUGUGGGGUCCAUUCCACGGAUUCCGUGACGCAGCUAACGCAUUAAGUUCCCCGCCUGGGGAGUACGGCCGCAAGGCUAAAACUCAAAGGAAUUGACGGGGACCCGCACAAGCGGCGGAGCAUGCGGAUUAAUUCGAUGCAACGCGAAGAACCUUACCAAGGCUUGACAUAUACGAGAACGGGCCAGAAAUGGUCAACUCUUUGGACACUCGUAAACAGGUGGUGCAUGGUUGUCGUCAGCUCGUGUCGUGAGAUGUUGGGUUAAGUCCCGCAC